GUAGGUGAACCUGCGGAAGGAUCAUUACCUUUCUGUCCUUUGGGACAUUUGGCGGGGCUAUGGUCUCCAUAGCCUCUGUCUAAAACCGUGUCUUUUGCGUACUACUUGUUUCCUCGGCGGGCUUGCCCGCCGGUUGGACCCCUUAAAACUCUUUGCAAUUGCAAUCAGCGUCUGAAUAAUAUAAUAAUUACAACUUUUAACAACGGAUCUCAUGGUUCUGGCAUCGAUGAAGAACGCAGCAUCUGACUGA
rnacentral:misc_RNA from 1 species